GUCCCAGCUUAAAAAUAAGCUUGGAUCUACAUGCCCUUUCACCAAGGUAGCUAAGCUAUCAUAAAAUACAGCUCCAACAGCAAUGAAGGUGCAGUGAAUUUAAUAAAAGUGAAAGAGCUACUGGUU
rnacentral:sRNA from 12 species